rnacentral:rRNA from 1 species
AUUAAACGCUGGCGGCAUGCCUUACACAUGCAAGUCGAACGGCAGCACGGGGGCAACCCUGGUGGCGAGUGGCGGACGGGUGAGUAAAGCAUCGGAACGUAUCCUGGAGUGGGGGAUAACGUAGCGAAAGUUACGCUAAUACCGCAUAUUCUGUGAGCAGGAAAGCAGGGGGAUCGCAAGACCUUGCGCUCUGGGAGCGGCCGAUGUCGGAUUAGCUAGUUGGUGAGGUAACGGCUUACCAAGGCGACGAUCUGUAGCGGGUCUGAGAGGAUGAUCCGCCACACUGGAACUGAGACACGGUCCAGACUCCUACGGGAGGCAGCAGUGGGGGAAUUUUGGACAAUGGGCGCAAGCCUGAUCCAGCCAUGCCGCGUGAGUGAAGAAGGCCUC